rnacentral:rRNA from 1 species
GAUGAACGCUGGCGGCGUGCCUAAUACAUGCAAGUCGAGCGAAGCGGGGACGGGUGAGUAACACGUGGAUAACCUCCUAUAAGACUGGGAUAACUUAGGGAAACCGGAGCUAAACCGGUUACUUAUAGAUGGAUCCGCGCUGCAUUAGCUAGUUGGUAAGGUAACGGCUUACAAAGGCAACGAAGGCUAGCUGGCCUGAGAGGGUUAUCGGCCACACUGGAACUUAGACACGGUCCAGACUCCUACGGGAGGCAGCAGUAGGGAAUCUUCCGGAAUGGGCGAAAGCCUGACGGAGCAACGCCGCGUGAGUGAGGAAGGUCUUCGGAUCGUAAAACGCUGUUAUUAGGGAAGCGGUACCUAAUCAGAAAGCCACGGCUAACUAUGUGCCAGCCGCCGCGGUAAUAC